ensembl:lncRNA
GAGAAGGUCAUUAAGAGAGAACAUUAGGAAAUGACAAAAUAUUACUCGAGAAGCCAGGGCUACACUGACACUAGUUAGCACAACGGUCCAGAAAAGAAGCAGACCCUCAUGCGGUCUUAAGUAGUGAGGAGAAAGUUACUCACGAUGAGAAGCCAGUGGGUGAUUAAUGUGGAUGAGCAACAGUGAACUUUAUAGGCGAGGUCAGAGGCAGGGACCUUAGUCCAGCUCCGCCCUGUCGAGAGAGAGAUGAAGGCAGCAAAAACACAACACAUCCUACAGAUCCUGGGGACCAUGACAGUUUAGGCCAAAAACACAUGUUGUUAGUAUCUGAACAGAUAAAUGACUGUUUCAUGAGUAAAAAUGAUAUGUCACUUUUUUGUUUUUCUAGUAAAAUAACAAUGUGAUUCCAUUAUCGUUAAAAAAAAAUAGCAUAAUCUGUUCUAUACAAAAGGAUAUACUUAAAAUGGAAAUUAGGGAAAGUGUUUUUAAGAAAGGGAAAUGCAUAAGAGAAAAUUCAAUCAAGAAAAACUAAGUUUACUUUUCGAGAAAACACCUCAGAGAGUUUUCUGGUAAGAGAGAAUCAUCAAUCAUGAGUGGCUGGAAAUUUUCUGCCUUGUUCACAGUGCACUGAGAGUUGAAGCUGCAGGCUAAUGUGCCACCAGACUGUUGCUGCUAUUCCAAAGGCAAAAAAAUAAAAAAUAAAAAUCCCCCCAAAAUACUAGAUCCUACCUUCCCACUUCCACACAAUCAUUUUCCGCCCGGAAACAGAACAGGUGGCUCAUGGCUCCCUGGAGACACGGUGACAACCAGGAAAACAAAUGUUGAGUCGAAUUGAGUGGUAGAGUCUGGCUUGCAAAUAAAUAUGCUUGGGCUUAAUUUUCAUGAUCAAUGAAUGGUUUAGGGGGGAAAUCUGCCUGUAAAAGGGUAAAAAGCCUGGUACAUAACACAAGGUAUUUCCCAUUUGAACACCAAGUGGCUGUAGCUACAAACUGUGUACACUUGGCAUCCCCUAACCCCCUCACUGAUACUGUUGUACAUGCUGCAAGUCCCCUAGGAGACAGUUGUGUUCGGGGCCGUGUUUACUUUGUGAAGAAUACUUCCAAAGUCUAGCUACAUCAAUACUAUACAGGCUCAUUUGCAAAACAUAUGAGACAGGCAACCUG